CCGAGCCACGCGUGUCCCGUGUCCUAUGGCCAAUGGUCAAUGGUCAAAAUUGGACACUGGCCGUCUCAUUAGCGCACCAAAGGCUGGAGGGUUAAUGAUGCGCACCCCGUGCUUGGGCUUCCGUCCCCCACUCCACGCCACUCCGCCUCCCGGCAAUUAUGCGACGCACUUGAGCUUGAAGGGCCUCGAAGGUGAGGAGUACACUUGGACAAAUCGAACAACAACUGGUGCACUACAUAAAAGUUUCAUAUAAUUAAUGUUGCUUACUCAAUCGUUUGACAUACGACUUGGAAAUUCUUAAAAUAAGUAAGUAAGCGGCACUUCCACGUAGUCUGAAUAAGUAGUUAGGAAUUAUAAGCACAUACUUGUACUUGAACUCCUGUUUUUUCGAGUGUACGCGUAGGAGGACUGCAGUGGCCAUUCAUUGACCCCGUCUGUGUAGUAGCUCGGGUUUUAUGGUGUCGUCGUAAAUGUCAGGUGCGCACCCCAUUUAAAUUUAUUCAACGUAAUUAGUUGUCUCCCCAUAAAGUGCCUGUAAGUCUGCAGUGUGUGGUGCCAGUGCACGAAUCUAAUUUGAUUGCCAACUGAAAACUACAAGUGUUAGGGGAUUACGAUGAAGUGCUUCCGCCCGGGCCCGAAAAAUUCGAUUUCCCCUUUCGAAGAUAAAUUUUUGUGGCGCGGAUUAAACGACACAUAAACCAUAUAAAUGGGACGCAACACACCUGCAGGUGGAAAACAUGCAAAAACGAUAAUUGCGAGAUAUGCGAACGGGACAUGACGCCGCAGGAUGCCAAACGAGCUGCUCCAUCCCGCCGGCGCUCCAGUUGGGUCACCAUUCUCGCCUCGGUUAUCGGUGAAUUCCGUGACGAUGGCAAAAAUAUUGCAACGCAGCCAAAAGGGGCGGAAAAGGGCUGGCGGGGAAGCAGGCGGUCUGGGUCCUGGUCCAUUUCGUGUGCACGUCGUUAUCCUUGCCCCGGAUGCACAACAAUCAAAAUAAACGGCUGCCAAAUUGACCAUUGACCAAACAUCGUCAGCAGGGAACGGCGAGGAGGUGCCGACGACCAUGCAGCAGGAUGUGCGGGCGGCCAAGGACCUCCAGGGGCAAGGGUGCGAACUGAAGCACUGGAUAGCGACAUCAUCUUUGGCCCCGUCACGUCCACUCUCUGCUCCGUUCAGGAGUCAAGCAGCCAUCUCGAAAUAAACAUGAAAUGCUCUUGUUUUUGUGCAGCGGGAAAACGAUUAAAGGUAAAAGUGGAGAGAACUAGCACAUUUCUAUUGGGAACCGAAUCCAAGGUGUUCCUUGCAGGCUGUUAAAGCAAGGACAUGGAAACUAGACACAGGUCAACCCAUUCCUCAGAAUGUAAUCAAAGAAAUCAAUUCAGGUGUGGAAUUAAAAUUCAUUGUAAUGCUAUACCGAUAUCGUUUAAGCCAGAAAUAUGUGUAAUGGGCCAUAAUUGAUACCCUAUAAGCCAGAUGCCGACCAGAGUUAGUAACUGCCGCUACAUAAUUAACCAGAAAUGUUCGCUCAUCUCGCGUCCCCACUCGAUUUACGAUAUUAUUGCAGAAUAAUGAAAUCGCCAAGAGAUUCCAAUUCAAUCUACGCGCCUCAUAAUGGCGUAGGCCAUUUAUGGAUUGGCAUUGAUUUAAUACCGCGUCGCGAGAGAUCGCCUCCAGGUUCGGUUCCCCCGAGUCCGAGGCGCAAGGCAUUUUGCACCUACUUCAGGCCCAAGACGUCCAAGUCGCGCUCGCGGCUCCAAAGUCCGCAUCUGAUCUGAUUCCGCCGCCUAUCGCUCCCCAAGAUCAGCGGCGCAGACGCCACCUCGUCGGAUGCUGCAUCGGCGGGCAGGAGGGCAUCGCAGCACUCAGGAAAAAUGCACCUCAGAACGGAAGAUUCUCAUUUCGAAAGUACAAAUUCAAAUAUAUUGUCGAAUGCUCCUCCAUAAAAUCCCUCUAAGUACUAGUGAAUUCUAAUUCCGAAUCAAUAAUGUAAAUUAUUUUGUGGACGCAGUUUCAGAUUACUUGCUGUGCCCACAGAUACCACUACUAUUACUUGCUCAUCAACUGCGAGGCGACGACUGAAAGGAUUUUUUCUGAAUGCACUGCUCCAAUGUUUAUUCAAUAAACCCGAUCUGAGAUGCAGCGCGCCAGGAGGAGGAGCGGCAGAACAGCAGCUGGCUGGCUGGCUGACUGGCAUUCCUGCGAGAAGCAACCGUUGAGCAGUGCUGCAGUUGGCCCAUUCAAGACAAGCCGCUGGAAUUUCUUGGUGCGUGCUCGGCACAGGCACAGUCCCAGUCCCAGUCGCAGUCACAGGUUGGGGCUCGGAAUCGGAUUCAGCUGGUCUGCCAGCGUCUGCCAGCUGCGCCUCCUGAUUAUGAUAAUGGCAGUUGGACUGGACCGGAUCGGGCUGGAUCGGGCUGGACCGGGACAAGCACCAGGCUGGGCCACGACGGACCGCUCAGCUCAUCCCACUGGCCGGCCAGUUGUGCGCAAUUGCUUUCGUUUAUGAUCGAAUGAUCGAAUGCCUGGCAGCUCCGUUGACUUUCUGAUUAAUGCAAGAAUGCUCCUUGGCGGCGUUCCUGCUUUUUGCCCGAUCCCACCACCACUGACUGCAAUUAAAAGUGGAUACCUCGCACUAAAAAUUGGACGAAGGCAGGACUGGACAUAUCCACGCCAAAGACAAGAUCUUUUCAACUGAAUACCACCAAGAAUUGUCCAACUACUCGGUAUAUACUUUCGGCUGAAACCCAAACCAAGUUAAUCCCAGAUAAGAGCAUUCCCAGUUCGCCUUCGUUCGCGGUGCCACAGAUUGAUUUGAUUCCUGACCGGCUGCCGUCGCCUGCUGUGCCUGAUGUCCGAUGUCCGAUGGCUGGUCGAGAGUCGGGGAAUAGGAAUGGGAACGGGAAUGGGAAUGGGAACCCAAGUGGCGGCCAGAUGCAGACUGGGCCGAGGAAGACAAACGACAGUCGCCAGCGCGCCUCGUGCCUCCAGUUGUCAUAACGUUCAACACGUCGUGCCCCUCGGUGGCGUCUUGCGUCUUGCGCCUUGCGGACCACGUCCUCGCCGCGUCCACAUGCCCGACUUCUGUGCGCUGCCAUAAAAGGAUUUGUCACGUGCGAGCUUUUGUUGGAAAUGCAACAAUCAUCAGCCUGCAUUAUGCAUGGCGCAUUGCCAGGUUGGACAUCGCAUCGCGGCAUUCCUGGAUUCCUGGCGAUCCCUCCGCCAGGUCCUGGUUAAUAUGCCCUCCCGUCCGGCAGAUCAUUGCAAUUUAUAAUUAAGUGGAAAUAUGUUGUCUACGAUGGCAACAAGGAUCUCAGAUUGCUGGCGCAGAUAUGAAUGGCUCGCAAAGGAGGGACAGAGAGGGAGAGAGGGAAACGGAGCCCUCAAUUGGAAUAACAAAUGCAUUAGCAGGCCAAACAAGGACCUAAUAAUGUCCUCGCCGGGGGAAUGUGAAUGGAAAUCCAUUGUGCAAAGAAUGGCCCGGGUCUCAUCCGCAAUUACCGUUAGGCACACACACACACACAGGGGCAAAUGAGGACACGUCGGCCUGGCUAAUUCAUGACUUUAAGGACACUUUGGCAAACAAUCGAACGGCCAAGGCGAAGGAAUAUUCACAGUGCAAUUGAUUAUGCAUGAGUGUUUUGUCGUGUGCGGUUUGUGUGCGUGCCAAUCAACUGGGUAGAAUCAAUCAAAAUGCAAUAGGAUUGCCCUGCCAAUCAAAGGCAAAGCCGAGAAAAGCGCUUCCAUCGCUCGCAGAAGUCACCUCUGCGGCCCACUCCCCCCCAGUUGCACAGCUCAAGUCCAAGGCAGCCAGAUCCUGGCCAGUAUUUUCGGACCACAUCAGGACAAAUAGCCAGUGCCCAGGUAACCAGGACAAACACUCAAAUGCCUGGCGAAGCGUGGCGAAGGAAGCAAACGAGACGUGGGCUUACAUACAGAAAAACUAUGGUCUAACUUUUUUCACAAUCGAUGUCCUUAGUAUCCUUUAAAUAACUUAAUCCGCAGUGUAUUUCAUUCGGAACAAGUGUAAGCGUAAGCGGCGCAUUUAUUUGCCAAGCGCACUUUUUGCAUUUGCCAAACAAGAGUGCGGCUCCUGCCAGGACGAGGCCUUGUCCUCCGUCUGUUUGAACACGAGCCUACACUUCGGACCUCGUCCUGGCCCGGGACAAAUAGAC
rnacentral:sRNA from 1 species